rnacentral:rRNA from 1 species
GACGAAGGAUGCAAGCGUUAUCCGGAUUCAUUGGGUUUAAAGGGAGCGUAGGCGGGUAUGUAAGUCAGUGGUGAAAUCUCAUAGCUUAACUAUGAAACUGCCAUUGAUACUGCGUACCUAGAGUACAGUUGCCGUUGGCGGAAUGUGACAUGUAGUGGUGAAAUACUUAGAUAUGUCAUAGAACACCGAUUGCGAAGGCAGCUAACGAAGCUGUAACUGACGCUGAGGCUCGAAAGUGCGGGGAUCAAACAGG